GAUGAACGCUAGCGCUAGGCUUAACACAUGCAAGUCGAGGGGCAGCAUGGUCUUAGCUUGCUAAGACUGAUGGCGACCGGCGCACGGGUGCGUAACGCGUAUGCAACUUGCCUCACAGAGGGGGAUAACCCGUCGAAAGACGGACUAAUACCGCGUACACUCCAUCUUGGGCAUCCAAGGUAGAGGAACUGAAAUUCGCUGUGAGAUAGGCAUGCGUCCCAUUAGCUCGUUGGUGAGGUAACGGCUCACCAAGGCGACGAUGGGUAGGGGAACUGAGAGGUUGAACCCCCACACUGGUACUGAGACACGGACCAGACGCCUACGGGAGGCAGCAGUGAGGAAUAUGAGUCAAUGGGCGAGAGCCUGAACCAGCCAAGUCGCGUGAAGGAUGACUGUCUUAUGGAUUGUAAACUUCUUUUAUACGGGAAUAACAAGAGUCACGUGUGACUCCCUGCAUGUACCGUAUGAAUAAGCAUCGGCUAACUCCGUG
rnacentral:rRNA from 1 species